rnacentral:snRNA from 1 species
GUGCUCACUUCAGCAGCACAUAUGCUAAAAUUGGAACGAUACAGAGAAAAUUGGCAUGGCCCCUGCGCAAGGAUGACACGCAAAUUCAUAAAGCAUUCCACAUUUAA